rnacentral:rRNA from 1 species
UCCGAGUUGUAAUUUGAAGAUUGUAACCUUGGGGUUGGCUCUUGUCUAUGUUUCUUGGAACAGGACGUCACAGAGGGUGAGAAUCCCGUGCGAUGAGAUGCCCAAUUCUAUGUAAGGUGCUUUCGAAGAGUCGAGUUGUUUGGGAAUGCAGCUCUAAGUGGGUGGUAAAUUCCAUCUAAAGCUAAAUAUUGGCGAGAGACCGAUAGCGAACAAGUACAGUGAUGGAAAGAUGAAAAGAACUUUGAAAAGAGAGUGAAAAAGUACGUGAAAUUGUUGAAAGGGAAGGGUUUGAGAUCAGACUCGAUAUUUUGUGAGCCUUGCCUUCGUGGCGGGGUGACCCGCAGCUUAUCGGGCCAGCAUCGGUUUGGGCGGUAGGAUAAUGGCGUAGGAAUGUGACUUUACUUCGGUGAAGUGUUAUAGCCUGCGUUGAUGCUGCCUGCCUAGACCGAGGACUGCGAU